GAUCUCCAGCGCCGGUAGUGUCUAUUUCUUUAUUGCUGACACGUUUGCAUCUUUUCGUUUGUCAACGUCGCAAACGUCUCAAUUCAUUACUCGCAUUUGAUGUGUUUCUUUAUUAUCUGUAGACCGAGCCGAGAAGGUUUCUGUCUACUGCAAUUUGCGUGUUUACAUCGUUAUUGUAUCGCCUGGCGUUAGAGCCGAAAUUAUAAAUGUGCACAGCUAGUUUGCUGUUGCAAUGCGUUACUUCUAUGGCGAUUUAUCAUUAGGAAAGCUGUAUCAUAUUAAUUAUAGUGGGCUAAUUAUGGUUUUCUUUGUUUCAUGCUUAUUUAACUUGCUAAUAGUUUAAAAUUUGCUGCAUUGAACUCUGGAUUAUUGAACUGCAAUUUGUGAAUCUGUCCUGCGUUUUGAUUGUUUUUUGUGAACAAUUCUUGUGUUCUGCAGUUACAUAAAAGAUUCGAUAUAUUGUUGACCUUGGCUAAAAACAGUCGAAAACCUCUCUCUCUCUCUCUAUCUCAACUCAAUCUAUCUGUAUUCGUCAUCUGUUUCCGUGAUCUAUUUGGCUCCAUCUGACAUCUCGAUUUUAUAAUUUAUGCUGAGCAAGUGCUUGAUAUUUCCACGACAUAUUACAAUUCUCCUGUGUUUGAAGUU